AGCUUCGUGCCGUCGGGUGUCGCCACGGUCGCGGCGCUGCAAUCGAAAGGCUUUGCGUACCUCAAGGUCGGCUGAUCCGGCCGGCCUGCUGAAUCGGACUUUUCAUAAAACAUACUGGAGAGACAUCAUGAGCAUCAGUCGUCGGCAGUUGAUUUCAGGAUCGGCAUCGUUCGCGGGCGUCAUGAUGUUCGGUGCGCCCGCGGUACUCGGGCAG
rnacentral:misc_RNA from 1 species